rnacentral:rRNA from 1 species
GACGAACGCUGGCGGCGUGCUUAACACAUGCGAGUCGAACGGAAAGGCCCUGCUUUUGUGGGGUGCUCGAGUGGCGAACGGGUGAGUAACACGUGAGUAACCUGCCCUUGACUUUGGGAUAACUUCAGGAAACUGGGGCUAAUACCGGAUAGGAGCUCCUGCUGCAUGGUGGGGGUAGGAAAGUUUCGGCGGUUGGGGAUGGACUCGCGGCUUAUCAGCUUGUUGGUGGGGUAGUGGCUUACCAAGGCUUUGACGGGUAGCCGGCCUGAGAGGGUGACCGGCCACAUUGGGACUGAGAUACGGCCCAGACUCCUACGGGAGGCAGCAGUGGGGAAUAUUGCACAAUGGGCGGAAGCCUGAUGCAGCAACGCCGCGUGCGGGAUGACGGCCUUCGGGUUGUAAACCGCUUUCGCCUGUGACGAAGCGUGAGUGACGGUAAUGGGUAAAGAAGCACCGGCUAACUACGUG